rnacentral:tRNA from 1 species
GGCCCGGUGGCGAAGUGGUAACGCUGCGGAUUGCAAACCCGCGAUGCGCGGGUUCGAUUCCCGCCCGGGCCU